UGAUAAUUGAGAGUUAAUUCCACUCAUCUCUCUACUUGGCUAACAAGGCCUCCCAAAAAAAAAAAAAUGUUUUAAUUAUGAAAUAUGUUUAUGUAUGUGGGACUAUAUUGCUUAGACAACCAAGGCAUCGAUUAAAUUAUUUUAGAUAAACUUGUCAAGUGAUCUGUGAGAAAAAAAAAAUUUCAAACUAUUUAUCUACAAUAGUAACCAUUAAAGUCUAUGGGGAUUUGUAUAGAUAAAUCAUUUGAAAAGGUAUUCUAACUGAUUGUGAUAAUGUGAAAAGCUUAUCCAAAAUAAUUAAGUUGAGGUCCAAAUUUGAUCCAUUCACUUUCUGUUCUUAGUUACAAGGGAGGUAUGAUCUUAUUGCAGAUAUGCCAAAGCUUACCUUUAAUAAUCUACUUCUACAGAGCUUGCACUCAGAUUGUGAGAAAUAAAUAAACCGGCUUGGAGGUAAACCUAAAAAGUACAAUCAAUGAUUUGGACAGACUUGAAACACAUUCAUUAUCUCUACAUCUCAACAGCAAAAUGGUCACCAAUUGCAGACUCACUGCGGGAGAUCACGGUCUCAGCAUUGAAGUCCAAUUAAUUCUUUGUUUUGCCAGGAUUUGGACAUUUAUUUUUCACAUGCAUUUCUUUGUACUCAUCACUUUUAAAAGGAGAAAGAACGUUUGUUUUUUUUCAGUUGUCAUUCAGUGGAAAACCAGAGUGCAAGAUUAGUGAUUUGGUUUCUGCAUUCACCUGGGGUGUAAGUAUUGCAGAUAAAGUAAUAUUAAUAAAUGUUAUGUGUCUACUGUACUGAGUUAAGGUGUGUUUAUUAUGCAAUGGCCUAUUUUCACAUGCAUUUGUAUGGGGGGUGGGGAGGACGGUC